rnacentral:misc_RNA from 1 species
UUUCCGUUGGUGAACCAGCGGAGGGAUCAUUACCGAGUGCAAACUCAUAACCCUUUGUGAACCUAUAUCUGUUGCUUCGGCGGCUCGCUCUCGGGCGAGCCCGCCGGUAAUAUCAGUAUCUCUGUUUGAACCCGACGAUACUUCUGAGUGUUCUUAGCGAACAGUUAAAACUUUUAACAACGGAUCUCUUGGCUCUA